rnacentral:tRNA from 1 species
GGAGAAGUACUCAAGUGGCCGAAGAGGCUCCCCUGCUAAGGGAGUAGAUCCCGAAAGGGAUGCGAGGGUUCAAAUCCCUCCUUCUCCGCCA